GUGGGUUUCUCUGAAUAGUGAUAACCUUUGUUUCAAGGGGACAUUAUAUGCAGUUGGACAUCAACAAGCAUUUACGGAAAUGUUGGAUGAAAUUUCACUUUUUACAGCUCUAAUCAAAGCUGGUCAACAAGGCACAUUUAAUUCGGCAAUCAAUAUGCGAUAGGAAUUCAAAAUGUGUACUUGUUGUAUUUUGUUCGUCUGAUGUUAAAGUAUCCUCACAUCUUUUCGGUACUGCAUCCAAUGUUUAUCUUAUUUGGAUGAUUUUGCAACUACGGGCACUUCUAUGUCCUCGGGAAUGUUUUAUUUUUAAAUUCUUUAUAUGCUAAGUUCACACGACAAUCACCCCAUUCUUUUUUUAACACCUCUCUAUCAAGAAUUUUAGCAUAUUUUCACAUUUAUUUUAUACCUACAUUUCACUUUUGCCCUUGUCCCUGACCCAGAAUGUUGAGCUUCUACUAUGUUGUUCUAUGGGAAAACAUUGUAUAAUGUGUAAUUAUUAAUGUUAUCUACUAGUGAGAGUUAAUUAAAUGAAAUGUAUAUCAAUAUUUAUUAUGAGUAUGCCCUUUUAUAUAUAUAUAUAUAUAUAUAUAUUUACACAAAAUAUACCUGUCCUUUGGUAGUUGUGUAAUUUCCUACACUGAGGACAAAUUCCUCAUUAAUAAAGUUUUUUCAAAAGACUUAAUUUAGUUACAAUGGAAACGUAUUGUGACACUGAAGCACAUGGCUGCAGCUUGCAGUUGUUCCAGAUGUAAUGUCCAGAAGUUGAAGAAAAAUCUAGAAGAUGCCACAUAAAACAGCACAGAAGUCAAAGACAUGACAAAAAAAAUAUCCUAUAUGAUACCAGGAACAUUCGCAAUAAGACAGGGAGAGAUGCUGGAAGAAAAAGGAGAAAGGAGAAGUGAAAUCUAUCUCUGAGCUGACAAAGCCAGAAAAAAGAAGCAAGAGAAGGCAAUGGAAAUGCAACCAACGGAAUAGAAGACAGGCUUGAAAGAGAGCAGUUGCAAUGGAGACCUACCUAUCAGGCAACACAACACCUCAGUCACCACAUGACUUGCAAGCCAAAACAUGAGGCCAACAUACCUGCCCCUGAUGCACACCCCGAUGCCCCUUCCUCAUCGUCUGCAACAGGAAUGAGAAGUCAAAUACUUGCUGGAAGUAAAAAGGUUGGAAGGGGUCGUUCAAAAACAUACACAGAUCUUUGCAUGACAAUGUCAAACUUGAUAAUGCAUUACAGAAAGCUGAGAAAAACUGAUGAAGAAAAUGGGGAGAAAGAUUCCCCAAAGACAAGAAGAAAGGGAACUGAAGGGAACUCCAAAGAACUUGAGAAGGAUUUUAUUUUAUUGUUUCAAAAUGCCAUCCUUGCAGAGUUAAAGCAAAAAUAUAAAAAAAUGUGCAUUGCCAAGGACAAACAAGUGGCUUAAAAAAUGCUUAGAGGCAACAUCCUGAGAAAGUAUGGCCUGGUCAAAGCCGCAAACGGAUCAUUUGAAUUUUCAGCAAAAGCAAUGACAGGAAAAAGCAGUGUAACAGAAUUAGCACAGCCACAGAAGAGAAAAUCACUUGAUUUUAUGAACGUGAUGACAACAGUAGAGCAACAAAAGGGGAAAAGGACACACUAUGAAGGAAAAAGCAGAAGCGCUUCUUUAAUGUCAUAAUUCAGAACCUCUUCCUACUAUGCAUUCUGCAGAAUACGUCCUUUUUGGGUUGUCAAGCUAACAGUCCAGGAUAGGGACACAUGCCUCUGCAAAACCUACACCAACCUCCAGUUCAUGGCAGACAAACUACAGUAUCACAUCAGUCGGCUGUUAUAUAUCUCAAAGGCGAUAAAGAGCAUGGAGGCCCUCCCACCAGAUCACCUGGAGACAAUCUGUGGGACAAUGAAGAUACACCAGAUCGUCAGCGACAGUCCAGAGGAUACUCAGUUGCUUCUGUUCCUUUCCACAUCACUGCACUCCACAGACUGUGACUCUGUUUGAAAAAAUAGAGGCAGACCAAGAUGGAAAAUCCAACACAUCUCACAGCGCCUUCCAGCCCGUUGAAGAUCUAAGUGAAGCAUUGAUUGGAAAGUGGUGUGGGGUGGAGUGUGAUCAGGACGUUUACCCUGGCAUCGUGCAAGACAUUCACACAGAGAGUGGUGCUCUUGUUAAAACCAUGAGUUGCGUUGGCCCCAACUGUUUUUUUGGGGGCCGAUGAGAGACAACAUCAUAUGGUACAGACCACAGCAUGUGCUUGGACUUGCACCUGAACCCGACCCCUAGACCAAGAGGUACAUGGAGCUGGAUGGUUGGUCUGAGAGGAACGUGGCCCUAUUUCUAAGCCUUAGAUACUCAUAUACAGUACAAAGCAGGACAUAAAAUCAUGCAUUAAAUAAAACAUGUGCAGCUCUCAAUUAACUUUUCCCUCAAUAUAUAGGUGCUGGAAGUUCUAGUUGUUGCAUCUAAGUGUAGUCAAAGACAAAACAUUGUUCUCAUGUUAAAAAGGUGCUAGGUCCAGUGUUUUAGAAUCUUACUUUGUCUUUUAUUAUUUAAAUGUUUAAACAAUGGUUGUGGUUCAAAAUGUUAGCAAUAAAAUAUUGUUUUCCUACGUUCAUUUUUUUACAUAGACCACAACACAUAUUUCUAAAUAAAUGAGUAUAUGUAUAAUUUACAUUGAUUGAUCAUUUACAUUGAUUGAUUUGUUUUAGAUAGGGAAAUCAUAAUCUCACAAAAAGGUUGGGUAUCUUAUUUUUCAUAAAUGUUUUCAGCUGUCACCAAGGCAAGUUUAUACAUUCAGGCGUCGUGUUGAAUUAUUCAUUUUAGGAAAACCUUAAUCACAAAAAAUAAUAUUCAAUACAAGUUCAUGUACACAUAAGAAAUGUGUUAAAAAUAAGUUCAUUUAAUUUUCAACUAAAAUGGAUGAUUAAUGACAUGAUGCAAAUUACAUUUGUCUGGCUGUCUGGGAAAAAUGACAAAAAUAGUACAAAUGCAGCUGUUUUCAGAUAUUGUUUCUAGACAAAUCAAAGACAAUUAAAAUACUGGUAAAAUGG